CCUACGGGGGGCUGCAGUGGGGAAUAUUGGGCAAUGGGCGCAAGCCUGACCCAGCAACGCCGCGUGAAGGAAGAAGGCUUUCGGGUUGUACACUUCUUUUCUCAGGGACGAAGCAAGUGACGGUACCUGAGGAAUAAGCCACGGCUAACUACGUGCCAGCAGCCGCGGUAAUACGUAGGUGGCAAUCGUUAUCCGGAUUUACUGGGUGUAAAGGUCGUGUAGGCGGGACUGCAAGUCAGAUGUGAAAACCACGGGCUCAACCUGUGGCCUGCAUUUGAAACUGUAGUUCGUGAGUACUGGAGAGGCAGACGGAAUGCCUAGUGUAGCGGUGAAAUGCGUAGAUAUUAGGAGGAACACCAGUGGCGAAGGCGGUCUGCUGGACAGCAACUGACGCUGAGGCGCGAAAGCGUGGGGAGCAAACAGGAUUAGAUACCCCUGUAGUC
rnacentral:rRNA from 1 species